AAAAAAGGUAUCAUUGCAUACUGCGAUACUCUGGUAUUUUGGCAUUAUAUAAUAUAUAUAUAUAUAUAUAUAAGAUGCCAAAAUACCAGAGUAUCACAGUAUGCAAUGAUACCUUUU